rnacentral:misc_RNA from 1 species
UAAUAAGUGUUUUAUGGCACUUUUUAAAUCCAUAUCCACCUUGUGUGCAAUGUCAGUCGAUCUUCUUCAUGGAGAUCGACCAAACAUCAACCUUUAUUUUUCAACUCUUUGUCUGAAAAAUAUUAUGAAUAAACAAUUCAAGAUA